UACGGAGGGUGCAAGCGUUAAUCGGAAUUACUGGGCGUAAAGCGCGCGUAGGCGGCUGAGUAAGUCGAUUGUGAAAUCCCCGGGCUCAACCUGGGACCUGCAUUUGUGACUGCAUCGCUAGAGUACGGCAGAGGGGAUGGAAUUCCGCGUGUAGCAGUGAAAUGCGUAGAUAUGCGGAGGAACACCGAUGGCGAAGGCAAUCCCCUGGGCCUGUACUGACGCUCAUGCACGAAAGCGUGGGGAGCAAACAGG
rnacentral:rRNA from 1 species